rnacentral:rRNA from 1 species
CAUGCAUGUCUAGUUCACAACGCAAGUUGAAACUGCGAAGCGCUCAGUAAAUCAGUUAUUGUCCCUUCGAUCGUAGUACCACAUCGGAUAACUGUGGCAAAUCUAGAGCUAAUACGUGCGAAAAUUACUACCCUGUAGUAGCAUUUAUUAGUAUAAACACACUCGUGUGUAGGUGAAUCUAGAUAACUUUGCAUAUCAUCCAAUUGGAUGAUAGUUCGAUCGAAUUUCUGCCCUAUCAUUUUGUCGGUGAGGUAGUGGCCCACCGAGGAUGCAACGGGUAACGGGGAAUCAGGGUUCGAUUCCGGAGAGGGAGCCUGAGAAACGGCUACCACAUCCAAGGAAGGCAGCAGGCGCGCAAAUUACCCAAUCCAGACACUGGGAGGUAGUGACGAGAAAUACCGAAUCAAACUACAUGUUUGAUACCGGAACAUACUUGAUUUAAUAAAUCUCGUUUUAAUUGGAGGGCAAGUCUGGUGCCAGCAGCCGCGGUAAUUCCAGCUCCAAUAGUGUACAUCAAAAUUGUUGCACUUAAAACGCUCGUAGUUGGAUUGCAGUCCGUCCGCCAGCAUGGCUACUAACAUGGCAAACUGGCAACGGAAAAUUUUGCAGGGCUUAACUGUCCGCUUAAUUGCGGACGGCUGAAUUACCUGCAGAGCGUGCCUUGAAUAAAGCAUAGUGCUCAAAACAGGCGCAAGCUCGAGUGUAAUAGCAUGGAACGAAUACACGCCACAUUUAGUGGUUGAUUAAAAGGAACAUUAGAGGGCAUUAGUACUUGAUGGCGAGAGGUGAAAUUCUUAGACCCAUCAAAGACUGACUACUGCGAAAGCAUUUGCCAAGAAUGUUUCAUUAAUCAAAGAACGAAAGUUAAAGGUUCGAAGACGAUCAGAUACCGUCCUAGUUUUAACUGUAAACCAUGCCAACAAGGAAUUAUCCCGCUUAAGGUUGGUUAGUUUCCACGCGAAAGCGAAAGUCUUCAGGCUGUGGGGAUAGUAUAGUUGCAAGGCUGAAAUUUCAAGAAAUUGACGGAAAGGCACCACCAGGAGUGGAGCCUGCGGCUUAAUUUGACUCAACACGGGGCAACUUACCAGGUCCAGUCAUUG